rnacentral:rRNA from 1 species
UCCUACGGGGGGCAGCAGUGAGGAAUAUUGGACAAUGGGCGGGAGCCUGAUCCAGCCAUGCCGCGUGCAGGAAGAAUGCCCUAUGGGUAGUAAACUGCUUUUAUACGGGAAGAAAAAGGGCUACGUGUAGCCCACUGACGGUACCGUAAGAAUAAGGACCGGCUAACUCCGUGCCAGCAGCCGCGGUAAUACGGAGGGUCCGAGCGUUAUCCGGAAUUAUUGGGUUUAAAGGGUCCGUAGGCGGGCCGAUAAGUCAGGGGUGAAAGUCUGCCGCUCAACGGUAGAAUUGCCUUUGAUACUGUCGGUCUUGAGUUAUGGUGAAGUUGGCGGAAUAUGUAGUGUAGCGGUGAAAUGCAUAGAUAUUACAUAGAACACCGAUUGCGAAGGCAGCUGACUAACCAUCGACUGACGCUGAUGGACGAAAGCGUGGGGAGCGAACAGGAUUAGAUACCCUGGUAGUCCACGCCGUAAACGAUGGAUACUAGCUGUCCGGGUCCUUGAGACCUGGACGGCCAAGCGAAAGUGAUAAGUAUCCCACCUGGGGAGUACGUUCGCAAGAAUGAAACUCAAAGGAAUUGACGGGGGCCCGCACAAGCGGUGGAGCAUGUGGUUUAAUUCGAUGAUACGCGAGGAACCUUACCAGGGCUUAAAUGCAUAUUGACAGGGUCAGAGAUGACUUUUCCUUCGGGCAAUUUGCAAGGUGCUGCAUGGUUGUCGUCAGCUCGUGCCGUGAGGUGUCAGGUUAAGUCCUAUAACGAGCGCAACCCCUACCGUUAGUUGCCAGCGAGUCAUGUCGGGGACUCUAACGGGACUGCCGGUGCAAACCGUGAGGAAGGUGGGGACGACGUCAAAUCAUCACGGCCCUUACGUCCUGGGCCACACACGUGCUACAAUGGCCGGUACAGCGGGAAGCCAUGCGGUAACGCAGAGCGGAUCCACAAAACCGGUCACAGUUCGGAUCGGGGUCUGCAACUCGACCCCGUGAAGCUGGAAUCGCUAGUAAUCGGAUAUCAGCCAUGAUCCGGUGAAACGUUCCCGGGCCUUGUACACACCGCCCGUCAAGCC